rnacentral:lncRNA from 1 species
GAGGGAGUACCUUUAGAAUUUUCUAUGGUGAAAAACAAGAGGUAAGUGGAGUAUGAACUUUCUGUGGUGAAAAACAGAGGCAAGUGGAGCGUGGGAUGUGCUCUUUUCCCGAAAUGUUACCUGCAUUAAAUUAAACAUCGAGAAUUUAAAAAGUUCUGUACCUAAAAUCAUUUACCCGAUUUAAAAUCUGUUUUCAGAAGACUAGCACUAAAUUAAAAUUCAAAAAUUAAAAAAGUUUUGCACCAAGGAUCGGUUUUCACCCUUGGACUAGUCGCCACGAGAUCUUCACGGUAUGUUUCGACGAUUUUCUUUUCGCAUGCAAAUGUUAACCACAUGUAACACGCAAGUUACCCAUGUCGUGUAAGUUACCCACCUUAGAUUUUUUUAUUUUUUUUGAGCACAUACCCACCUUAGAUUAUCUCCAGUCACGACCCUCAAACGGCGCCCAGUUGUUAGGUACCGUAAGGAAAGAAGGCCGCUGAAAGGUAAGGGCCAAGUAGGCUUCUGUGGAGCAGUCAAUUUGUCGAGUGAGGUUGAGCAGCAGACUUCCAGCAGCCACAUAAGCAUUGACAACCGUUUCUUUGACGAUGCCCACAUGUUUCAUGCUGCAGUCUUGCUUUUAGUUCAAUAACAUGUUUGUUGUAUGGUACAUGGUAGAAUAUUUGACAAAUCUGGGAGUAGAAGCAGAGGAGUUCUUUUUUCCGUUUUUAGGGAAGCCUUUCAACAUUCAUGUUUGUUAAACGGUACAGUACAUGGUAGCAUCUAUAUGCAUUUGGUUGUGCUCUGUUGUCAACUCGAAGAAUGUUUACGCCCUUCUGUUUGAUAUGAUUAUCCAGAAGGGGAGAAAACGAGCGGCGGCGGCUAGGAAAAAAUAGGAGGAGAAGGAAAAAGAAAAAGAGAGGAAGGGGAUUAAUUAGGCUAGGGUUAGGGUUUGCUAGGUGGGCUUUUGGGCCAACAAAAGCCUCAAACAAAAUACUGGUUUCGCAAUUUUUGAUUUUGAAAUAGAUAAGAGACAAGUGGCUAGGUCUAAUUAAACCCACAAUUACUUUUGUCGAUAACAAAUUAGGAUUUGUACAAAAAUAAUUUAAGCUUUUAGAAUCACAACAAAAAGACAAACACACGACAACACAAAAGAAGUGACAUUUCGUGCAAACGAAUAAUUA